rnacentral:rRNA from 1 species
GACGAACGCUGGCGGCGUGCUUAACACAUGCAAGUCGAACGGAAAGUCCCUGCUUUUGUGGUGUGCUCGAUUGGCGAACGGGUGAGUAACACGUGUGUAACCUGCCCUUGUCUUUGUGAUAACUUCAGGAAACUCGGGCUAAUACCUGAUAGGAUCUCCUGCUGCAUGGUGUGGGUUGGAAAGUUUCGGCUGUUGGGGAUGGACUCGCGGCUUAUCAGCUUGUUUGUGGGGUAGUGGCUUACCAAGGCUUUGACGGGUAGCCGGCCCGAGAGGGUGACCGGCGACAAUGGGACUGAGAUAGGGCACAGACGCGUACGGGAGGCAGCAGUGGGGAAUAUGGCAGAAUGGGAGGAAGCGUGAGGAAGCAACGGCGCGUGCGGGAAGACGGCCUUGGGGUUGUAAACAGAUUUCGAGUGUGAAGAAGAGUGAGUGACGGUAAUGGGUAAAGAAGCAACGGCUAACUACGUG